ACAGCUGAGCCGUGUGAAGAGGCUGACAGCGGCGUGGCCACCACCCAGGAUGGAGAGAAAGGCACUGUGAGGUGUUAAUGGAAAAAUCCAACUUCCUUUUCUUCCAAAGAUGAUGACUGAAACCAAAGUGGAGCUUUCCCUGAAACUUUCUGAGAUGCAAGUGGGUGUUAAAUGGUUCAGCAAAGCCAAGCCAGAGCAGUUGGUGUGCUUUGAAAUGAAGCAACAUUGGAAAAAUGAAAUCUACUGAAAGAUCACUACGUGUUUCAAAGGCCUUCAGACUCAGACUGGAACUGCACCGUUGGCUCUCCUGGGUGGGUCUCCAGCUUGCUGACCACAGACCUUGAGACUUCUCAGCCUUUAGAAUCAUGGAAGCCAAUUCCUUAUAAUAAUAUAUAUCCUUUUCCUAGUCUGUGGACUUUUCCCAGCUCCAGACAGACAACCUUCUAUAAACUCCAGGAUGCUCCAUCAAUGCCGUCUGGACUCUACAGAUUUUGACCCUGAAGUAAAGUAGGAAAGGCUAUGAGGACAUGUUAAAUGUUGUACUACCGCCUGAAGCCUUUUCUUCUUUAAAUUUUUCAACAAGAGUUGAAUGCACACGUGGAGCUUAAUUGGACAACAACUUUUCUCCUCUUCUGUGGGAUCCCGUCAGUGCUUUAAGCAAUGAGAAGGCAGCUCAUUUCCAAGUUUGUGUGGUAAGAAAGCUGGGACCCAGAAAAAUGCACUGAUUUACCCAAGGAAGCAGAGCUGGGAACAGAAUACGAGGCUUCUAAUCUACUGAUCAUUUCACUGUGUCACACUAUUUAAGAUGUAGAAACAGCUGAAUUCA
rnacentral:lncRNA from 1 species